CACCGCGGUUAUACGAGAGGCCCAAGUUGAUAGACGUCGGCGUAAAGAGUGGUUAAGAGCAUGAUAUACUAAAGCCGAAUGCCCCCACAGCUGUCAUACGCACUCGGAGGUAAGAAGCCCAAUCACGAAAGUAGCUUUAUUAUUCCUGAACCCACGAAAGCUAAGACA
rnacentral:rRNA from 1 species